UACAUUCAAGUAUAAAGAUGUACAAAAGCUUUUGAUGUUUUAGGUAAUAGUUUAAUUCUAUUGGGUGUAU
rnacentral:tRNA from 1 species